GUAAAUUAAUAUAGACAGUAAUUAUGCACCUUUGCCUACCUUGAAGCCCAAUUAAAUUAGCAAAUGAAUAGGAACGUCAUUGGGCUUUGGCUUAUUGAUUCUUGAAAAAAUUUAAACGAACCUCAGUUCUAUAAAUUAAAAGCUUAGUUACAUUACACCAUAACGCUUAUUAACGAUUACUUUGUAUACCAUGGCAUGGUAGACGGUUCCAUCCCGAGGUAGACAGCCAUCUAUAUGCGGUACAUGGACUGCCUAAAUAGGGUAAAUAAAAGUUACCCACGUUCACGUCCAUAAACUGACUAUAUGUGCACCCUAAUAACAUGACCGACCAACAAUUCAAUGCAACCCGCUCCAAAAAAAUCCUCGGUAAACUACCAUCGGCUGCCCAAGGACAUACAACUUUUGAAGAAGUGGCUCCAUGUCCUGAAGAGGAAGGACUUGCAAGCUCGAGCUAGUAGGAUCUGCAGACAGCAUUUCGCGGAGGCAGACUUCGCGAUGAAGGGCACUUACUAUGCGGCAACCGGGAGUUUCCGAAUAGAAAGGAGUCAUAGGCCUAUGUUGAAGCCCUCUGCCCUCCAUUUGACAUUGAGGGUUAUGGUGUAGGGGUUACCGACCGACCAUCAUCAAAAGCGACUGAACGGAGGAGUCGAUGCAAUGGAGCCCCAGCGAAUGGUUAGUACAGCAUGCCAAACUGACCCCUUGGUGCCAGUGUUCCUGUGCUGCGGUGGAGAAGAGGUCUACCGGGACCAUCAUUAAAGAGUUCAGGGCCCAGCUAGAUUGCGCUCACGAUCAUCAGUAUACAACCGAGUCCUGCCCCUAUAACACAGAUGGAGCUGACAGAGAGUGAGAUCAAUGAAGACCAUAACUCACUGUAUGAACCUGAGGGCUCAGAAUCACAAUCAUCACAGUGCGAGCCAAGAUAUACUAUCGAUCAGCGGGAUGGUGUUCCGAAAAUAAAGAAGGAACUGGCCAUUCAACAGCGAAUUCAAAGAUACACCCAUCCAUAAAGGGAAUCGGAGUGGAAUUGUUUUUCCACUGAUUUAUUUUUCUUUUCAAUGGAUGUGUUACCUUGUCCCGGUUCUGCUGUUUCAACUCUCUCUCUCUCUCAACCUAUUAAUGCUCAGCAGUGAAAAGCCAACUGACAUUUGCUCCUGAGGUGUUGAACUGUUUCGCCCUCUAUAACCACUGUGGUUAUUAUUUUGAUGUAAAAAGGACUUUGUAAAAUAUCUUUGAUUGUUUGCUGUGCUGGAUGCUGUGUAUUCACUGAGUGAUGGGACAUUUUUAUAGUAUCUGUAACAUAUUUGGGGUUUAUUUAUUCUGCAUCUUAACUUCUUAAAGUGGUAAUCAGCAGUAGAAACAAUAACAAAGUGACUCCCUGCUCCUCUUUUGGUAAAAAGCUGAUGGAUGAGGCUGGAGAAAUGUAACCACUCUCAAAUUCAAAGACAGAGCUAUAGAUGCUAAGACUGACCAUCCAUGAUAUCAAAAUUGUAAUCCUGUUUCUAUGAUCUGUUUCCACUACCAUGUACCCAGUUCGCUUUGGAUAAAGGCGUCUGCUAAAUGGCAUAUAUUAUUAAAGUCUGCUUUGACUCUGACUAGCUGCC
rnacentral:lncRNA from 1 species